UACGAAGGGGGCUAGCGUUGCUCGGAAUCACUGGGCGUAAAGGGUGCGUAGGCGGGUCUUUAAGUCAGGGGUGAAAUCCUGGAGCUCAACUCCAGAACUGCCUUUGAUACUGAGGAUCUUGAGUUCGGGAGAGGUGAGUGGAACUGCGAGUGUAGAGGUGAAAUUCGUAGAUAUUCGCAAGAACACCAGUGGCGAAGGCGGCUCACUAGCCCGAUACUGACGCUGAGGCGCGAAAGCGUGGGGAGCAAACAGG
rnacentral:rRNA from 1 species